CCGGCCCCGGCGGAGGGAAGCGCAGGCGGCGGCGGCUCGCGGCCGCAUCCCCCUCCGGUGUGACCCCCGCAGCCUCUUCUGGAGCCGGCAGGGCCCGACCUUCCCAGCGGAGGACCUGAGAUUAAUAUCCAUUUCAGCUCCCCGCUCCACCCGCCUUGGCUCUUGCGUGCUGUGCCUGGCUCUGCGGGAAGAGGCGUCACCCUCCCAUAAGUCAUGCUCUGCCUCUAUGCCAGUUGAUUUAUGGAGCUGUGCUGGGUGUUUGCAGAGGAAGAGAGGCCUCUGAAGGAUAGUCCUGGAGGACGGGAAGCUUUCAGUCAGCACCUUAAGGCUGUGGUGCUACUAAAGAUGCUGGGACAAAAUACUGCUGUGAAAGUGAUGUUCAGGGCAACAAAGGUGGUGAAGGGUCUGGAGCACACAAGUUCUAGUUCUAGUUCUUGUGUUCUAGUUUUAGCACAAGGAGCAGCCGAGGGAGCUCGGGAUGUUUAGCCUGGAGAAAAGGAGGCUCAGGGGAGACCUUAUUGCUCUCUACAACUGCCUGAAAUGAAGUCGUGGUCAGGUGGGGAUUGGUCUCUUCUUUCAGUCAGUGACAAGAGGACUAGCCCUGAGCUGUGCUGGGGACGUUUGGGUUGGACAUAGAAUUUUCUUCACAGAAAGGGUUUUUAGACAUUGAAAUGCAUUGCCCAGGGAGGUGGUGGGGUCACCAUCCCUGAAGGUGUUGAAGAAAAGACUGGACAUGGCACUUGGUUGGUUGGAUUUGAUGAUUUCAGAGGUCUUUUCCAACCGUGUGAUUCCAUCUCCUUAUGCUGCUGAAACUCAAAUUACGAUAUAAGUAUCUUCUUCUGUUUAAUCUGGUGAAAGGUGCAGUAUACUUUUGUCCCCUCAGAGUGCCACACUGCAAAGAGAUCUCAGGCAUUCCAGUUUUCAAAUAUAUAUUUUUUUAAUUUUUAAAUUCAGUUUGUAACAGGUGGAUAAUGCACCAAGUUAAAAAAUCUCUUUGGUGGUAAAAAGUAACUUGUGCUACCUCUUCCUUUAAAUAAAUGCUGAAGAGCUACAAAUCAUCUUAAUCACUACAGUUACAUUUUGUGUCCUUCAAAGUGCUUACCGUGGUCCCAUUGAAUUUAUCAUUCAAUGCAAAGAGGACAAUGACACACAGCAGAACUCUUACGUGGUAUCAGAGCUGAAAACAGUUGUAAAAAAUUCUUGUGGAGAGUGAGUCCGGUGGAAUUUGCUCAUUUCAGUUAACUCUUAGAGCCAAAAUCAUCUUCUUCACCGGGCAGCUGUGUGUAAGACAUGGAUGCUCCCGAGAGCAGUCAAAACCCAGCCUCACCUUCCUGAAGCAGGGCGAGUACUGACAGGCUGCCUGUAGGUGUCAGACUCGGACUGCACAGCUGCACAAAUGCAAGUCAGGAGCAGGUGGGGCUUCUGAUUUGUUUCUUAAAUCAAAGCAACAUCACAUGUUGCCUGUUUUGCUUAAAAGUAAACAUUACAUCUACAAUUUGUUCUGUUCCAAUCAAAAGAGGGAGAACUGCAGACAAUACUGAUGACAUGGUCAUUUCCCAUACCUGUUUUAAUGCAAGUAUUUCUGAGAAAGAAAAAGGUAAGUUUUAGAGGAUUAAAUUGUGCAGCCAUCUCAAGACCAGCAGCCUUCUGCCUCCUCAUAUGUUCAUCACUUAUUUUCCUUCACCACUGCAGUCACUCCUCUAGAGGGGACACACAUGAAAUGUAAGAGAACCCAAAGGAGCUGUCACACCUUCCCUCAGAAUGAGAACAGAGAAACCACUAUUUCUAAUCUUCAGUCUUGCAAUAUGGUGAUGAUACUAAUUAUAAACAAGUUUAAUAUAGAAGAGUUUGUUACGGAAACCUACUAAAAGAGAAGGGCAAAAGGCUAUUAAUUACCAGAUUUUGACACUGCUCUACUUUGCUGAAGGAGUGGGGCAAAUGGUACUUGACUGCAUGAUUAAAAAGUGACAAUACCUUUUAGAAGCAGCAGGUCUGAAGCCUGUUCUACAUAAAUGUCAGUUAACUAGGGGGAAACAUUUUAACCUACUGGCUUAAGUACAAAAUAAGGGACUACGCUGGGAUAAACAAUUUAUUAGAAGUUUUACAGCUUAAAUUUUGUUAAAUUUCACAUUGAGUGGCUAGCAAAUAGAACUAAACCUGCCCUUAUUAAUACCAAGAUAACACAAAGAUGGCAUUCAUAUUACUAUUGCAUCCAUUGCAGAUUACAGAAAGAUACCAAGUUCAAAACUUCUUCCUUGUGUGUGAGACCAAGAUGGAGGCAUUCAUGUAGAAGGUAGAUUAAAUGUGUAUUUAUCAGUUCCAAGAGGGCUUAGUAGGUACAUUUCUACAUUGCUCAAUUUUCUGCAUAAAUUCCAGAAUUUUCAAAAUUAAAAUUUUGUUUCACGUGGUGGUCUUAAUUAAGCACACAUCCUGAAAAAAGGGAAAGGCAGGCUUGUAUACUUCAAACUGCCCAUACAAAUCAUUCUGGAUGAAAAUUUGGAAUAGUUUUUCAUGUAAGUCUGAACUAUGCAGUGUCCUUCCAGAGCAAAGGCACAAGUCCACCUCUGUCUGUCAAUGAAAUCAGAUUUCACCCAAAUACAGUGUUGUCUUCAGUUCAUGAUAUACAGUGGGCAGAAACCAAUACUGGUAACCUCUAGGAAAGUGAAUACAGUUCCUGAAAAACAACCCAACCAACCAGACAAAAAAGCCAUAAAAUAA